UUUGAAAUGUUGCUUUGUAGGUUAUUACUUACUAAAAUUACGAAAAUUUUGCUUUUAAAGAAAGUUUAGAAGUGAAUUCUGGUUUCUAUCGUAUCGUUUUGAUAGUUAUUAUUGAAUUUAUAGUGGCAAUGCACAAAAAAGAACGUUUGUUUGGCAAGAUAGAAAUUAAAAUAAGACUGGAAAAAGACAAAUCUACCUAAAUCUAAAGAAUCAGUAGCCUAUUAACAAGCUAAAUGCAAUAUUUUGCUUGCAACAGACUGUUGUGAAUUGUAUUUUGCAACAAUAAAAUACGUUGCAGAUAAACAAAAUGAAGUAAAAGGGCAAUUAUGAGCAUGAAUUGAGCAAAAUAGUUGGUUUUUGUGGUAAACAAAUGAUGAAAAUUGUUUUUUGUACAAAUCGUAAACAAUUAUAUCGAGAAAAUAGUUUUGUGAAGAAAAUGUGGCAAUUAUGUUGAAGUAUGACCUCUAACAUUUAAUUUAAAUGAAAAGUUUAAUGAAAAAAAAUGUAUGCAACAAUCAGCAGGAAAUUGUCUUCAAUAUUGAAGGAUAAUGGAUAAUAAUAAUUCAAUAUGCUGUUGAAAAGUUGUGUGUUGCACAUUUAAUAAUUGUCAGGAUAAUAACAUUCUAUUUUCUGUGGACCAACACUGUUUCAAUACAGAUAUCACGAAUAACUUUUUACAUACCUGUUGGUGUUACAAGGACAUCUGAUUUAUUUUCCAAAAUAUCCAUGCCAAAACUAUCAAGAGAAUACCUAUUUAUGAUGUAGUUACAUGUUACUUACACAAUUAAAACAUACUUUACUAGUGGGAUUACAAUGUAUAGAUUUACAAGAAAUAAAAAUGAAAGUUUGUUGAAUAAGAAGGAAAAAAGUGAAAUAAAAAAAUUUUAAGCUGAAUUUAGGGGGUGUUAAGCAGGGUAAAAGAACAUUUAAAAGUUAGAAAAUAUAUGUAACAUAGGAGAAAGGAAUUUAAGUGUGAGUUUUUAGUUUUAAGAGAUUAAAAUAUAAAUUUAAUGUAAAAGAAGCAAUUAGCAUCAGAAAUUAAGUAUUAUUUAUUAUAAAAUACUUUACACAGUCUUAUUUGUACUUUAUAUACAA